rnacentral:rRNA from 1 species
ACCUCUAAUCGGAAAAGACUACCCGCUGAGUUUAA